GAUGAACGCUGGCGGCGUGCCUAAUACAUGCAAGUCGAGCGAACGGACGAGAAGCUUGCUUCUCUGAUGUUAGCGGCGGACGGGUUAGUAACACGUGGAUAACCUACCUAUAAGACUGGGAUAACUUCGGGAAACCGGAGCUAAUACCGGAUGAUAUUUUGAACCGCAUGGUUCAAAAGUGAAAGACGGUCUUGCUGUCACUUAUAGAUGGAUCCGCGCUGCAUUAGCUAGUUGGUAAGGUAACGGCUUACCAAGGCAACGAUGCAUAGCCGACCUGAGAGGGUGAUCGGCCACACUGGAACUGAGACACGGUCCAGACUCCUACGGGAGGCAGCAGUAGGGAAUCUUCCGCAAUGGGCGAAAGCCUGACGGAGCAACGCCGCGUGAGUGAUGAAGGUCUUCGGAUCGUAAAACUCUGUUAUUAGGGAAGAACAUAUGUGUACGUAACUGUGCACAUCUUGACGGUACCUAAUCAGAAAGCCACGGCUAACUACGUG
rnacentral:rRNA from 1 species